UAUCUCUGUAGAGUCUGCAUAUCAAUAAGCGGAGGAAAAGAAACUAACUAGGAUUCCCUCAGUAACGGCGAGUGAAGCGGGAAGAGCUCAAAUUUGAAAUCUUCAAGGUUUUACCUUGACGAAUUGUAGUUUAAAGAAGUGUUUUCUGUUGGAAUUUUGGUAAAAGUUCUUUGGAAAAAGACAUCAAAGAGGGUGAGAAUCCCGUAUUUGACCAUUAUUUCCAGCUUUGUGAUACACUUUCAAAGAGUCGGAUUGUUUGGGAAUGCAGUCCAAAAUGGGUGGUAAAUUUCAUCUAAAGCUAAAUACUGGCGAGAGACCGAUAGCGAACAAGUACCGUGAGGGAAAGAUGAAAAGAACUUUGAAAAGAGAGUUAAACAGUACGUGAAAUUGUCAAAAGGGAAGCGUUUGACACCAGUGUUGUUUUCUCGAAAAUCAAUUAAAAAAGAUUGGAUUUUGUGUUGUAUUGACUUUAUCAGCUUUCUGCACUUUUUUCUUGUCUUUUUUAAUGCACUUUUCGUUUAACAAGUCAACAUCAAUUUCUUUUGUUGUAAGAGGGUCAUUGGAAGGUGGCUUUCUUUUCGGAGAAAGUGUUUAUAGCCUUUGGCUUCUGCAAUCGGAGAGAUUGAGGUCCGCAGCGUAGAUCCUUCGGGGUUAGAUACAUUUGUGCUAAGUUAUAGCCUUUCAUAGACAACUUGUUGACUAUGAUCAGUCAUGUAGCUUACUCGCUUAUGCUAUUUUACCUACGCUUAGGAUGUUGAUGUGAUACUGCGAGCA
rnacentral:rRNA from 1 species